UUGCUUUGGUACUGGUACGAUUUCUGAAGCUUUCCAGAUUUGUGGAAUUAAUCAGGUAUAUUUCUAUUUUAUUUAACGGGCUGCAGGGAGUGUUUGUCUUUGUUUCCUUCAUGUGCAACAAGAGAGUCUUGCAUCUCUACACCAGACGUCACGUGACUACAUCGUCUGGCUCUAGGCGCGAGACAACGCAGACAGCUGAUCAAGAGGACAGCUUUAAACUGAAGGCCAAGGUUGCGUCUGCCAUGAGAUUUGUUCAGAUGGAACAAGAGAAGAGAGAAAAUGUUUAGCUUAAUAAUUAUAAAGCCAUAUUUUGUUUAAAGAUAAACUGUAAAGUUAUUGAGAUAGUAUUACAUUCUUUACCUCAACUGGGGAGUUUUAUGUCCCGCCAAACUAUUCAUUAAAUUACUGAACGUUAUUAUUAUUAUUAUUUUUUAAAACAAACAUAACUUUUAUGUCAACAAUGGACCUCAUUCACCAAUCGUAAACAAACAACAUUUAGCCACAUGGUUCUCUAUCUUUUCUAUACAAAUUACGUAAUCCAUUAAGGCUGUCACGUGAUACGUUUUUUUUCCAUUGUUUUAUCAAAAUUAUCACGUGUAAAGUCUAAUCCUCGCUUUAAAAAGCCGACCGCGUACGUGGCAUGGGUAAGUUUGGUCAGUUGCAGAUAGGAUUGCUUCUUCUCUCCGCUUUUUAUUGGUUCGGCGCUCUUUCACCCUGGCAAUUCUUCUUGACUCAAUAAUUCAAAUCUCGAGACUCAUAACUUUACGCCAUGAAGAGCGAUUGAGAGCGAGUGUACGUAGUAAAGAAUGAAUAAAAUGCAAACACAAAUUUAUUUUCUAAUACAAACUCUUACUUUUCACUUAUUAUCCUUAUCCCUACCCAAACUUGGCCCCGCGCAAUCCAUUUCGCAUUGGGCCCCGCAAUGGUUAAGUCCGGCCUGCCUCUCCCUCUCUCUCUUUCAUAUCCCUGUCCCCGGUCAUGUAAAACGCGAUGUAGGCCUACAUGGACAGAUCGAAACCGGAAUUCAUCGAUUCGGAAACCACUUUACCGAUCAGCCACUGCGCCUACAUCAACAUUAAAACGCAUUAUUAUGUAACAGUUUAUGAAAAAGUACUUCCACCUUCGCUCAUCUUGCAGUCACUUGUUUCAAUAGUAUUUGACAUUAGCCGUCAUUAGAUACACUGAAAUUUGUGCUUAACAAAACUCAAAUGCAAAUUCAAAUUCAAAUCCAGAUGCAACUAGUUAUAAAUCAAAUCAAAGUAAAAUUCGCAAUAUUAUUCCAAUGUUUCAACUCAUUUUAAAAGCUGGAAAUGUUAGUGAAAUUUUUAAUUAUUAUUGAAAAAACAUGUGGAGAGUCGGAUUAAACAUUUCAGCGGGCCGGGGUUGGCCUGCGGUUCGUAGUUCUCCCAUUACUGUAUUGCAAGAAUAAAGUCUGGACUAAUUUUCGAUAGUGUUUUAUUUUUAAGUCUCAUCAAACUUUGUGCAGGCCUAUGAGUGACCUUUUACCAAAUGCCAUGUAACAUGUCACAGCAUUAGCCCAAACCAUUUUUCAUUAGGCCUAUUUUGUAUAACUUAAAAAAAUAAAGAAAUCAAGUCUA
rnacentral:sRNA from 1 species